GGGGAUUUAGCUCAGUGGUAGAGCGCUUGCCUAGCAAACACAAGGCCCUGGGUUUAGUCCCCA
rnacentral:tRNA from 1 species